ensembl:lncRNA
AAAUCGAGUGAGACAUAAAUCGAGUGAAACAUGAAGCGAUCGUACGAAAGCGGGUCACAUAAAAAGAAAGACCAAAGGCAGGACUUUCUUUCAAAGCUGCCAAAGCUAUCCAGCUGUUUUACAGCCACCGCAGUGGCAGCGGGACCGUCGGCGGAUCAAGAGCAGCCGUCAACGUCGUUUGCUGUCACGUUACUGCUCCUUUCAUUCCAAGUGUCUCUGGCUCAGCCAGCAGCGAUGCUAAUGACGUGUGUCAACAAACUGACGGAGAUGAUGCACAACUGGAACAACCCGAGUUGCCCCAAGAGGACUUGGCAGCAAAUGAAGAUGGAAGUACAAAAAUAUAGUUCAAACAGCAAAUCGAAAAAAAGCAGAGGCCCGGAAGACUUGAGGGGGUCCACCACCUGCAGCCCUCACAGACGCUGAGGAGAUGGCCCUCAGCCAACAGAGUAUGCGUCCUGUGGCUGAGGGCAUCCUUGGGGGGAGCUCCUCUGAUCCCCCCACCCCCCAGUAUAGAAGUGCCUUUAUAAGAGUUACUGAUGGCGUCAUAGCCCUACUUGAACCAGAUGCCCUCACCAACCUCCAUGCAAUUGUAACAAUUCUUCACCUUCCACAGAUUAUUAAUAAUGUCUUGAUAAUUGCUGAACACAACUGUUAAUGUCAUUACAGGAAGAUGAGAAACAUUGUCUGCGGCAUUCGAAAAGGGAAGAGGAAAGGCCUAUUGAGGAUGAAAUCGAAUCCAAUGAGAGGCCAUCCACUUCCAAAUCACAGCUUACCUCUGCAAGAUUCUCCCUGGAAUUAUAAUGAAACGCUCUACUUGGCAGUGUGAAAUCCAAUGUCAUUUUUUGCAUUCCUAUAGCUUCCAGUCAAAGAACUAUAUAAAAUCUAUCUCCAAAAGCAAAUGCACAAAGCAGACUUUGUAAUGGACCACCUUAGGCAAAAGAUGCAAAAAGAUGCUUUGGAGAUCCAAAUUUUGGAAAAUAAGUUAAAGGUGGGUGAGGUGCAAUCUGGGAUACUGUUCCCUGCUCUAAAAACAUACCCAAUAUGAAUGACUUUUUUUUUGUGCUUUCAGGAAAUAAAGAAAUCCUCAUAAAAGUAGAUUGUCUUUAUUAGAACACGGGCUGUGGUGGGACAAGUUAACUUGUUGAACAGUUUACUCAAAGGGUUUUAC